ACCCAAGCACGUGGCCCGACGGGCGGGUGGCCCAAGUGGGUGCGCGGCCCAGGCCCGCGCGCGUGGGCCGGCCCAAGCCCAGGUGCCCUGCUUGGGCCCUGUUCUCCGAUCCACCAUGGAUCGGGCGGUCCACGGGUGGGCCUGUGGACCGCAUGAGCAUUUCUCACAUGUUUCUCGUGGUCCACGGUACUAUUUCAUGGAUCGAAGCGUGAUCGGAGGGCCCAGGUGACUCCUUAUCUUGAUCCGACGGUCUGGGACGUGAUUUGGGUUGAUUAAGGACUCCUAAACCUAAUCUAAAUCCUGUUUAAACCCUUUAAAAGGCCU
rnacentral:lncRNA from 1 species